UACGUAGGAUGCAAGCGUUGUCCGGAAUUAUUGGGCGUAAAGAGCGCGCAGGCGGUUUGCCAAGUCAGAUGUGAAAGAGGCCGGCUUAACCGGCAAGGGUCAUUUGAAACUGACAGACUAGAGUGCAGCAGAGGAUAGCGGAAUUCCCGGUGUAGUGGUGAAAUGCGUAGAUAUCGGGAGGAACACCGGUGGCGAAGGCGGUUCUCUGGGCCUUACCUGACGCUGAGGAGCGAAAGCGUGGGGAGCGAACAGG
rnacentral:rRNA from 1 species